rnacentral:rRNA from 1 species
AGCGAACGUUUGCGGCGGGCUUAACACAUGCAAGUCGAACGAGAAUCCCUUCGGGGAGGAAAGUGGCGCACGGGUGCGUAACACGUGGAUAACCAACCCAUUGGUUUGGGACAACACCGGGAAACUGGUGCUAAUACCAGAUGUGUCGCAGCUGUCUUCAGGCGGUUGCGAGAAAGGCCCGCAAGGGUCGCCAACGGACGGGUCCGCGUCCCAUCAGCUAGUUGGUGAGGUAAUGGCUCACCAAGGCAAAGACGGGUAGCUGGUCUGAGAGGAUGAUCAGCCACACUGGAACUGAGACACGGUCCAGACUCCUACGGAGGCAGCAGUGGGGAAUAUUGCGCAAUGGGCGAAAGGCCUGACGCAGCCACGCCGCGUGAGCGAUGAAGGUCUUCGGAUCGUAAAGCUCUGUGGGGGAGAAGAAGAAAGCCGGUGAAGAGCCGGCCCUGACGGUAUCCCCUUAGCAAGCACCGGCUAACUCCGUGCCAGC